UUGCCUGGUAUCCGUGAAUUCACUGCCAUGGGCCUGAUGAAUAACAAACAGUGAUUACUAUGACUGUGUGUCAAAGAAGAAGAUUCCCAAACAGGAUUGGAUGAGGGAGAAGCUGCCAGCAGAUGAUGGGGGAAAGGCACUUAGUCACGCUAGAGCAAGGAGCAGUUCAAAGUUAAUGUCGAUAUCUUGGUGGAGAGCAUGAGGCACAACAACACUGGUGAAGGACCGCACCUGCAUUUGUAUCACUACUGUUGAUAUUUUACUAAAACUCCAAGAUAAUUGAUCAACUUUUAAGUACAAUGCAAAGACUGGAUGUGACCAUACCAUAGGUGAACUGGACAUUGUGACAACAGUGCACCUUGGCUUUCACAACCAGGUGAAAGCGGCACACGAGGAGCAGGAGAUAAGAGAGCACGGGCUGAAUUCUGGAGAUUGAGUGUACAUCAAGCUACACCAGGAGGGGGUGUUGGGACAGCGUUGGUCUGGUCCACACAGUACUACUUACAGCACCUGCAAUGGUAAAGAUCGUCUCUCCUCAGUGGGUUCACCUUUCUCACGUGAAGUGAGGUCCAGCUGCAUAAUGGGUGAGCUUGAAGACGCAGUGACAGAGGAAGUGGAGCGAAAGAGAGAGAGAAAGAUUAGAUUCCACUAUAGACAUGCAGAUAGGUUGGGUUUUGGAGCUACUUUAACCACCAUAGUUGGGUUUGGUUAGUUGCCUUAUUGGUGAAUACAUCAGAUGAAAGGAUAAAUGUUGGGGUAAUUGUACAGUGGACAACAUUCUGGAGGCAUUGAUGUGAAAGCAUGUACAGUGCUGGGUUACCUUAAGAGGAUGUAGCGUUGAUUAGGGAUACGCAUUUGCCUAUUAGGUGACGUGCCUAUCAGGUGGCAAUGGAGGAGGAAGGAGAUGGGGAACAAAGUGAAAAUGACAUGGCUUGGGAACACCUCUUGGAUCCUGUGGUCUGACGGGGAAGACUGGGCGAAAGCAUGAGGAGGGUUUUUAGGGCUUUCAUUUUUGCCAAACUCAGCAGAAAAGUAUCCUGAAGGCAUAGUCAGGUGAAGAGAGAGUGGGAAUUGUAAUGAAUUUGUAUGUAUAAUUAUGCAUUGCUUACCACAUUGUUAAUACUGUUAUGUUUUGUGUUUCUCGUUGCUUUUCAAGUCUUGUGCUACCAUUCUCUUAGGAACCAGAAGGAGAAAGUUGAAAUGGAAGAAGUCAACAGCUCCAGCAGACACAUUAUUAUCAGUGUUCUACGAGAAAUUGAAAAAAAGAUUGUGCUUGGUAUGACUAUAGAAUAUAGACUAUAAGUCUCUGAGUUUGUAAACCUCACUGUGAAUGUUAAUUAUGUUGAUUUUUUUGUUCAUGUUUUGUUAUCAUUGUUUGUUCAUUUAUUUAUAAGUAAUUUCCAAGUUUAUGUAAGAUGAACAGCAGGAAGCUAUUAUUCAAGAGGAGGGACUGUUGGGUUCUGAGAAUAUGAAAUAUACUUAUUCAUGUCACUGAGGGAGAGAGGGUAACGUAUAACAUUUACAUUGUGUUAGGAUAUGUUAUUGUUAGCCAUCAGGGAUCCUAUGGGAGGGAUACUCUGGAAAGAGAAGAGACACAGUCUGCUACCAGUUACCAUGACAGCCGUGAGUUGGAGAGGAGUGAGCACUUUGGAGCAAAGGUCAGGUCAGAUGAAGUGAGGAAGAAGACUUCACUAAGGUUCUGGCUAGCAACAGAGAUGCAUUGGCUGUUCAGAUGUGUAGGAGGAGACUUCGCAUAGAAGGUUAAAUAUCAGUGCUUGUGCCAAUGUGUUUUUUCGGCGAUUCAGCUGUUCAACCCUUUGGGAAGAAUAAACUUGGUUUAAGCUUUCA